rnacentral:rRNA from 1 species
AGAGGGCCCGAGCGUUAAUCGGAAUCACUGGGCUUAAAGCGUACGUAGGCGGAUGUAAAGGCAUCUUGUGAAAUCCCUCGGCUCAACCGGGGAAUUGCUUGGUGAACCAUACAUCUUGAGGCAAGUAGAGGUGGUCGGAACGAUAGGUGGAGCGGUGAAAUGCGUAGAUAUCUAUCGGAACGCCCAAGGUGAAGACAGGCCACUGGGCUUGUCCUGACGCUGAGGUACGAAAGCGUGGGUAGCGAACGGGAUUAGAUACCCCGGUAGUCCACGCCGUAAACGAUGCGCACUAGGUCGGGGAGGCUUGACGCCCUCCUGGCCGAAGCAAAAGUGUUUAGUGCGCCGCCUGGGGAGUACGGUCGCAAGGCUAAAACUCAAAGGAAUUGACGGGGGCUCACACAAGCGGUGGAGCAUGUGGCUUAAUUCGAAGCAACGCGAAGAACCUUAUCCAGGGUUUGACAUGUAUGGAUUAACAUCCGUGAAAGCGGAGCCACACCCUCGGGUGGAACAUACACAGGUGCUGCAUGGCUGUCGUCAGCUCGUGCUGUGAAGUGUCGGGUUAAGUCCCUUAACGAGCGCAACCCUUGUCGUUAGUUGCUAACAGGUAAUGCUGAGGACUCUAGCGAGACUGCCGGUGUUAAACCGGAGGAAGGUGGGGAUGACGUCAAGUCCUCAUGGCCUUUAUGCCCUGGGCUGCACACGUGCUACAAUGGUAGUACAGAACGAAGCAAGACCGCGAGGUGGAGCAAAUCGCUUAAAACCUGCCCCAGUUCAGAUUGCAGCUGCAAUUCGCCUGCAUGAAGUUGGAAUCGCUAGUAAUCGCGGAUCAGCUACGCCGCGGUGAAUACGUUCCUGAGCCUU